rnacentral:rRNA from 1 species
AUACGGAAGGUGCGAGCGUUAAUCGGAAUUACUGGGCGUAAAGGGUUCGUAGGCUGCCAAGUCAGUCGGAUGUGAAAGCCCCGGGCUUAACCUGGGAAUGCCAUUCGAUACUGCUUGGCUAGAGUAUGACAGAGGAAAGCGGAAUUCCGCAUGUAGCGGUGAAAUGCGUAGAUAUGCGGAAGAACACCAACGGCGAAGGCAGCUUUCUGGAUCAAUACUGACGCUGAGGAACGAAAGCGUGGGGAGCAAACAGGAUUAGAAACCCUAGUAGUCC